AAGUUGAGUUUCAUGUACAAUUUUUUCAUUCAUGAUCUGUGUUUUUUGCCAUAGUCGUUGAUGAACACAUUUCUUGAUUCUAAUCCUUUUAUCAAACCAUAAAUUGCCGAAACACUUUGUGAUCCGUAAUGUCUCAAACAUGGUGUGAAUUCGAGUAUUCAGAGUUUAUGUCAAUGGCAUUUGGAAAAGAUCCAACACACAGGUAACAAUGGUGAUUUUGGUCAAGACUGCUUGGCCAACCUAGGAGACGGUUAUUCCUCACCCGAUGAUUUAAGGAAUUUUGUUAGAUAUUCCCAAUCACUAGCUGAUUAAUGUACGCGUAUUUUAAUUUUAAAAGCAUCUUUCCAGAACAUCCGCAGUCCUCCUCUUUACAUUCGUCGCAAAACACAGAGGAACAGAUGUAUUAUAUAAAAAGCGAGACGCGAGGUUCAUGGACAACACUUCCAAGAAGAAAUCGAGCACUGCAAAAACCAAUAAAGUGUAAUUGAGUUAUGAGAUUUGGCGAAAUAAACCGCUUUUGACAGUAAA